CGUUAUGUUGCUCUUACGUUCACUCCCACACUUGGGGGGAGGUGCUGUUGGAGCAAGUUGUGGGCAAAGCGAGAGUUCGUGGAUAAUAACCGAGCCUACUGCUCUACUGAAAAAUCCUUGGCAGACGAUGGCGCAGUUUGCACAGGAUAAAGUGCUGAUAUGGCAAGUUACCUUUGAUCUGCAUCAGCAUGACCGGAAGGAAGCCGCCGAAUUCCUUUAUUUCUGUGCUGAUCCCCUCCGUGUUUUUCGCUGUCUUUCUGAGCAUCGCACUUGCUUUCGCCAGAUUCUCCUUGGCGGACAGUGCUUGAAUGGCUUCACUGGCCAGGAUCGGAUCAGUAUCUAUAAAACAGUUAUUAGAUCAGCUUUGUUUACGUAGGUAGAUGGACAACACCGCAAUUCUAAUUAAAAAAUAAUAUGAUCAA